CCCAGCCCUGGUGCUCAGCCCGGGGCCCCAGCGCCUUCGGGCUCCACCCGCAUUCAGCUGAGCUGCGGCGCUGCCUGCGGGUCCCUGUCGUCGGCCCCGGAGAGGACGUGGCCGAAAAACAGUUCUCUGCCACCUGCCCAUUACUCGAUUCAUCCAGUACAUCUCACCUCCUGGACUGGAAGCUCCUGGAGGCAAAGCCUGCUAUUCGCCGUGUGUGGGCACAUCACCUGCUGUAAUGGGGCUAUGACUAGGUUCUCCGGGCAUCACGGUGCAGAGCGUGUUCCAGGAGUUAGAGGUGCAGAGAAACCCCCCUGCCCCACUCCAUGUCUCCUCUUCUUGCAUCUGAUCUCCUAGAUGCAAAAG